rnacentral:rRNA from 1 species
CCUACGGGAGGCAGCAGUGGGGAAUAUUGCACAAUGGGGGAAACCCUGAUGCAGCGACGCCGCGUGAGGGAUGAAGGUUUUCGGAUUGUAAACUCCUUUUAUUAGGGAAGAAAAUGACGGUAUCUAACGAAUAAGCAUCGGCUAACUCCGUGCCAGCAGCCGCGGUAAUACGGAGGGUGCAAGCGUUACGCGGAAUCACUGGGCGGAAAGAGCGCGUAGGCGGGAUAGCAAGUCAGCUGUGAAAUGCGAGGGCUAAACCAUAGCACUGCAUUUGAAACUGUUAUGCUGGAGUACGGGAGAGGUAAGUGGAAUUCCUGGUGUAGGAGUGAAAUCCGUAGAGAUCAGGAGGAACACU